rnacentral:rRNA from 1 species
CGGUCCUAAGGUAGCGAAAUUCCUUGUCGGGUAAGUUCCGACCUGCACGAAUGGCGUAACGAUCUCCACACUGUCUCGGCCAGAGACUCGGUGAAAUUGCAGUCGCGGUGACAGUCCAAUAAGAACGCAGAAAGACGGAAAGACCCUGUGCACCUUUACUAUAGCUUGACAUUGGAUUUUGGGCCUGCAUGUGUAGGAUAGGUGGGAGGCUGUGAACCCUGUACGCCAGUAUGGGGGGAGCCAUCCUUGAAAUACCACCCUUGCAUGUUUAAGAUCCUAACUUCUUCCGGUUAUCCCGGAGAAAGACAGUGUCUGGCGGGUAGUUUGACUGGGGCGGUCGCCUCCUAAAGUGUAACGGAGGCAUGCAAAGGUUCCCUCAGCCUGAUCGGAAACCAGGCGCUGAGUGCAAACGCAUAAGGGAGCUUGACUGUAAGAGAGACAUCUCGAACAGGAACGAAAGUUGGCGUUAGUGAUCCGGUGGUCCCGAAUGGAAGGGCCAUCGCUCAUUGGAUAAAAGGUACGCCGGGGAUAACAGGCUGAUCGCAUCCAAGAGUUCACAUCGACGAUGCGGUUUGGCACCUCGAUGUCGGCUCAUCACAUCCUGGGGCUGAAGCAGGUCCCAAGGGUACGGCUGUUCGCCGUUUAAAGUGGUACGCGAGCUGGGUUUAAAACGUCGUGAGACAGUUUGGUCCCUAUCUUCUGUGGGCGAAGGAGAAUUGAGAGGGCCUGUCCCUAGUACGAGAGGACCGGGAUGGACGCACCCCUGGUGAUCCUGUUGUCGCGCCAGCGGCAUAGCAGGGUAGCUAUGUGCGGAAGGGAUAACCGCUGAAAGCAUCUAAGCGGGAAGCCUGCCUCAAGAUAAGUUCUCCCCUCGAAAGAGCUGAAGGGCCCGGGUAGACUACCCGGUCGAUAGGCUGGAGGUGUAAGCGCGGCGACGUGCUCAGCUGACCAGUACUAAUAGCCCGAGCGGCUUAUUUUU